GACGAACGCUGGCGGCGUGCUUAACACAUGCAAGUCGAACGGAAAGGCCCUGCUUUUGUGGGGUGCUCGAGUGGCGAACGGGUGAGUAACACGUGAGUAACCUGCCCUUGACUUUGGGAUAACUUCAGGAAACUGGGGCUAAUACCGGAUAGGAGCUCCUGCUGCAUGGUGGGGGUUGGAAAGUUUCGGCGGUUGGGGAUGGACUCGCGGCUUAUCAGCUUGUUGGUGGGGUAGUGGCUUACCAAGGCUUUGACGGGUAGCCGGCCUGAGAGGGUGACCGGCCACACUGGGACUGAGAUACGGCCCAGACUCCUACGGGAGGCAGCGGUGGGGAAUAUUGCACAAUGGGCGGAAGCCUGAUGCAGCAACGCCGCGUGCGGGAUGACGGCCUUCGGGUUGUAAACCGCUUUCGCCUGUGACGAAGCGUGAGUGACGGUAAUGGGUAAAGAAGCACCGGCUAACUACGUG
rnacentral:rRNA from 1 species